rnacentral:misc_RNA from 1 species
UGGAGGCAGCCGGCCACGGUAGGGUCAGCGACUGGGGUGAAGUCGUAACAAGGUAGCCGUAGGGGAACCUGCGGCUGGAUCACCUCCUUUCUAAGGAUGGUUCUUCAGAAGCUUGCUUCUAUCGAACCGUUUUAGAAACAUCAGUGGCCAACGAUCGUCAGGAUUGUUGAGCUGCAUUGGCGGGAUUUCGCCGUCUUCGUUUCUCUUUCUUCGCGGACGAACACGCGCUGGGGCUGCAGGCUUGCAGAAUCCCUGGUCCUUGACUGGAUAUGCGUUAGGGGCUUGUAGCUCAGUUGGUUAGAGCGCGCGCUUGAUAAGCGUGAGGUCGGAAGUUCAAGUCUUCCCAGGCCCACCACACUCAUCGAGUGAGCAUUCGUCUUCUGGUUACGGGGCCAUAGCUCAGCUGGGAGAGCGCGUGCUUUGCAAGCAUGAGGUCGUCGGUUCGAUCCCGUCUGGCUCCACCAGAUGGUUUGAUCAUCGACUGAUCGUGCAUCUAAAUCGUCCGCGAAACAUCACUUCGCACUUACUAGUCCGGAUGGACAGUGAGCUGCGUGAUUUCUGACAUCGUAAAGAGGAGAUCGAUCCGAGUUGGAUCGGGCAACAAGCAAUUGUUGCGCGAUACUUCAUUAUCUCCGGAUCAUUUCGGCGCUCGUGCGUCUUUCAAUGUAGCUCACAAGGCUGCGUUUGAGAGACAUGCGAGUUGUAAAUGAUCCUUUUAGCGAAGCUUGACCGCCUCGCUAUCGGAACGAUCUUACGAAGCAAGCUGGUCUUUCUAAUCAUUGUCCGGCUG